CAAAGCAGGAUAUUGAUGUGCUGUGCUCGGGCUGCGCCCCAGGCUGUCCACUCCGUGUUAACAGCGUUCUUCCUCUUGCCAUAAUUAGCACCUCAAUUUUUUGUCCCACUUCCGACCCCGCCCCCUAGCCAUUGGAAAUUCGCAGACUGGAAAUUGAUCAGAACUUCAGUUGCUGAGAUAACACAUGGUGCUUUUUAAUCUGUCAGCCUCCCCUUUGUUCUUUCAGGACUGGCUGGUUGCCCUGCCUCCUCCAAGCGGUGCCUGGCAGGGGUCUGCCAAGGAGGUCGACUGAGCAGACGGGACGGCUGUGAUCCGUGGGUUGACGAUUCACAAGCCCAAGUCUCUCUCCCAAGCCCUAGAAUGUUGUAUCCCACUGCAUCCUGGGCAGAUGCACCCCCGAGCCCCUCAUCUUCCCCCAAAGCUGCCUUCCGGAUGCCUGUCUCGGGGAAUGGCAAUCACCCAAGUGCAGAGGCUGGGAAUUGCCCCGAUCUCUCCCCAUCUCCCUGACUUCCAGCUGGCCUCUGGAUUCUACGUGCCGACAGCUCAAAAACCUGUCCCCUCCUCUCUUGCCCUGCGGCCAUGGCCCCAACUCAGACCUCUACAUCCCUUGUGCAGACUCCCCACUCCCCGCUAUGGCCUCCCACGAGGCUCCUUGCCUCCAGCCCUUGGAUCCACUGCAGCCAGAGCUCUCGAGCACGACCCACUGGCUCAUCCUUGCCACCACUCAGCCCCCAGUCCCUCUUUCCUUUCUUGCUCUCAUUUCAUUUCAUCUCAUUUCAUUUCAUUGCUCUCUUGCUCACGGCUUCCCAGACACCGUUCUCCCUCUGGUCCCUGAGCCUUUGAAUAUAUUGUUCCCCCAGCGUGGGAGGCUCUCCCCACCCCGCCUUCUGGGCGCCACACAUUUAUUGCUCCUGAAUACCCACGUAGUCUCCCGCAUUUCCCAGCCCUCCUUGCAAGUCAGACUGGCCACGUGAUGAGUUCUGGCCAACGGAUAGAAGAGCAGGUGGGAGCUCCAUGUGCUCGGUGGUGAGGCGGUGGACCGACCCCAGGCGGAAGCAGCCUCCGUCACUGAGUCCUUACAACAGCCGGAUGUUGAGUCUCUGGACGUGCAGAGCCUGGGUGUGAACAAGAAUAAAUCCGAAGUGUCAAACCCCCGAGAUUUGAGGGUUGGGGUGACUGCAGCCGAGGCCCAGCCCCUCUGGACGGAUGGUCUGGGAUUGGAAAAUGCACGACCAAAGGCCAUCAAAAGAGACAGAAGAGAGGGCCCUUCUUUUUCCUCUCGUCUCUGUCGACCCAGAGCUGGGAGCAAUGGAGAACAGAUAGAAAAUGUGCUGGUAGAUGGACGGAUGGACGGAUGGACAGGAAACAACAGGGGAGAUCACAGAAGCCCGGAGCCCAGGAAGUACCAGUGUGGGGACUUCAGAGAAUAGAACAGAUCCCAAAAUUGGGACUUUGGUCUCACGCACGCAACUCAGACGAGCCACGCGGCCUGAGGCAGCCGCCUACUGUAGCUUGAAUGCUCAUUAAACGUUUGGUAAAUGGACCACCGGCUGUUCUGUGCCCUCACGGGACACUUGUGUGGCAUCAUCCCAAAAUCUCUUCGACGUCUCCGCUGGAGAAAGCACGUGCAGUCAGACGUACCUGGGUUGAUACCGUGGCUCUGCCAUUUCCGAUUGGGUGACCAUGA